AACGCACAUUGCGCCCCGUGGUAUUCCGCGGGGCAUGCCUGUUCGAGCGUCAUUAUAACCACUCAAGCCUGGCUUGGUAUUGGGGCUCGCGUACCGCGGCCUUCAAACUCAACAGCAGUCUAAACAGACCCUAAGUGUAGUAAUCUUUCUCGCUUCUGGACUCUGUGGUGGCUUGCCCAACCCUAAUUUCUUAUGGUUGACCUCGGAUCAGGUAGGGAUACCCGCUGAACUUAA
rnacentral:misc_RNA from 1 species